ACCAGAACAUUGUGAUGCCACUUUGUUGUCCUCCCAAUUCUUGAUUGUUUCACUGAACAGUUUUCCUUAUUCCUCGAACAAAUAUCGGUCUAAUUAUCUUCCAGCGACAAUAUAUAUAUAUGUAAAAGUACACUACGGGAUAGAACGACAAACCAAAAUCCCACCCACCCUCCAUCAUAGGGCACGCAGCCAAGGAGGAAUACUAUCCCCACCAUACAUUUGACGCCUCUGUUUCAAAGAGAAAAAGACCUACUGUAGACCCUUGCAAAUGCACCUGCGCCGUCUCGCUGGAUUGCCCGAGGGCUGCGAGGGAUGGUGUGUUGGACUGUCACAUUGCCCCAGGGCUUCCCAUCCCCAAACACAAACACAAACUUACAGGCCCAAAGCCCACCCGUGAAUUGCAGAUCUUCUGCUACAUCUCAAUGAAAGAAAGAGACUGUCUUCAAAGAUCAGCUGAUGAUGUUCUCACUUCUGACACUCUUCAAAAGUGCAUUCAUCAUUCUGAAUAUUGAGCACUCUGACAUCUUUGAAUGAAUGUGAGGAUGCAUUCAACAACUUCAAUUCUACAACAUCAACACAGCUUUAUCUUUCAUUCUUGAAAAAUUCAUGAACCCCAUCAUCAGCCAGCAGUUUUAACAGCCAGCAGUUUUAACAGCCAGUUUCAUGCAAAAAAAUAACUGAAAGUAAUGACUGUGGAAAACAUUGUCAAUACUGAUAUGAAGA
rnacentral:sRNA from 1 species